UGGGGAAUAUUGCACAAUGGGCGAAAGCCUGAUGCAGCGACGCCGCGUGAGGGAUGACGGCCUUCGGGUUGUAAACCUCUUUCGCCCAGGACGAAGCGAGAGUGACGGUACUGGGAGAAGAAGCACCGGCUAACUACGUGCCAGCAGCCGCGGUAAUACGUAGGGUGCGAGCGUUGUCCGGAAUUAUUGGGCGUAAAGAGCUCGUAGGCGGCUUGUUGCGUCUGCCGUGAAAAUUCACAGCUUAACUGUGGACGUGCGGUGGAUACGGGCAGGCUUGAGUUCGGUAGGGGAGACUGGAAUUCCUGGUGUAGCGGUGAAAUGCGCAGAUAUCAGGAGGAACACCGGUGGCGAAGGCGGGUCUCUGGGCCGAUACUGACGCUGAGGAGCGAAAGCGUGGGGAGCGAACAG
rnacentral:rRNA from 1 species